GUGCUCGCUUCGGCAGCACAUAUACUAAAAUUAGAACGAUACAGAGAAGAUUAGCAUGGCCCCUGUGCAAGGAUGACACGCAAAUUCAUGAAGCGUCCUGUAUUUUU
rnacentral:snRNA from 1 species